GAUGAACGCUAGCGGCAGGCCUAAUACAUGCAAGUCGGACGGGAUUCAGGAGCUUGCUUCUGAUGAGAGUUGCGCACGGGUGCGUAACACGUAUGUAACCUACCUUUAUCAGGGGGAUAGCCUCUCGAAAGAGAGAUUAAGCCCGCAUAAAAUCACAGCACAGCAUUGUGUAAUGAUCAAAUAUUUAUAUGAUAAAGAUGGGCAUGCGGAACAUUAGCUAGAUGGCGGGGUAACGUCCCACCAUGGCGACGAUGUUUAGGGGAUCUGAGAGGAUGGCCCCCCACACUGGUAAUGAGACACGGACCAGACUCCUACGCGAGGCAGGAGUAAGGAAUAUUGGUCACUGGACGGAAGCCUGAACAAGCCAUGCCGCGUGCAGGAAGACGGCAAUACGGGUAGUAAACUGCUUGUAUAAGGGAAUAAACCAAGAUACGUGUAUCUGGCUGAAUGUACUGUAAGAAUAAGGAUCGGCUAACUCCGUG
rnacentral:rRNA from 1 species